rnacentral:rRNA from 1 species
AUGUUUGAGCAAUUCGGGCAUAUCCUAUAUGAGUGUGGUGUAUACAAGGUUGAGGAAAUUGAAAAUGGUAAAAUAUAUGUUGCAAUACAUACAGAGGCAGAGCAUAGAGAAAAGUGGUGUCGAAUUUCAUACAGAGUUACAGUCCUGGAUGGCGGCCAUGAACUUGAAUGUGAAUGUGGUCAAUUUGCACACAUGGGCAUGCUAUGCAGCCAUGUGUUGAAGGUGAUCUUAGUCUGUUAA